CCGGGGUAACGCAGGCUCCCGGCGUCUCAAAGACGGUCUCCGUCCAAGUCCUGC
rnacentral:ncRNA from 1 species